GGGGUGGCGGGGAUGGUCGCUGACCCGGAAGAAGCUUGGCUUGCCCGAAGGAGGGGAGGAUUAAUGACAAAGACGGCCCCGCUCUUUCCCAUUCAAUCCCGCUCUGCGAGGCGCGCCUAGUCUGAAAGGAUGUGCGCGCAGCUGUGCAGGAUGAAUCACAGACAUCAGAGAUGGAGAACACCUGUUACUGUGGGUCAUCGGCUUGGCGUGCGUCCGGUCUAGUUUCCAUUUACAGGACAGUUCUGUGCCCUUCCUCAGGAGGUCCCAUUCCUUCCUUCUUUUGGUCGGUUCUGAGUGUCAGCUGUCUACUGGGGAUCUGCUAAGGCUAAGAGGCAAAGAUAGGCAAGUCACUCCCCUGACCUCAAGAAACUCCCAGUCUACAGGCGAAGAUACACCACCCACCGGUAGAGUCGCUGGACCAGAAUAUUAGGUGUUCCAGUCAAAGUCACCCAGAUUUGCCAAAAGACCUGGCACAAAUGUCACUUCCACUAUGAAGUCCCACUGACUUCCAUAUACAAGUCACAAGUGAUGAUGCCCCAUCUGGAUUGGUAAAGAACUCACAGCAAGAAAAAUCACUGAUGUGGAAAAACUCAGGACAGCAUUCUUUUGCUGACCACUUACCACUUUUGCACGUACCCAGCAGCCCACUGAAGUGCUUGUACCUGUGUGCCUGGGGAAGGUGGGGAGAAUAUUUCUUCUUUUACCCCUCCAAGGUCUGUAUCUUUAUUACUUUGAUAGUUCCUGCCUUAGUUUAGUUCACCAUCACCUCUCGUCUGGAUUAUUAGGAACUAUUCUUAAUAUACAUCCAAUCCACCCUCCACACUGACAUCUGAGUUCUCAUUCUCCAAAUGCAAGCCUUCAUUGACUAGCCAGUGCCUUCAGGAUCAAGUCAAAAUUCCUAAAUGCAGAGGAGCCCUAACAAACUAGACCCAAGUGUCCCUUCCAGUCUCAUCUUCCAGCACCAUCACAUUGUAUGCACAAGGCACCGUGUAUUUGCUCCUCUUGGAAGAAAAUCCCUCCCACUUCUGUGACUCUUUACCAGCUCCCUGCUCUCCUCCAGCCAGAGAAAAGCACCCUUUCCCUUUCCUCUACCAGGAAAAUCAUACUCAACUUUCAAUACCUAGUUCAAAUUUCAGUUGCUGUGUUCAAUAUGUUAGAGGCAGAACAGGAAAAUGGGAAAGAGUAAGGAUUCUGGACACUUGUGCUCCUCCAUUGAUCACAUUUGUAAGAUUGAGUGACUUGUUUAACUUCCUUAAGCUUCUGUUUUCUUAUAUGUAAGUUGGAGAUUUAACAGUAACUACCACAUCAGGUUAUUGGGAGGAUUAAAUGUGACAAUAUUUCUAAAGCACUUAGGACUGUGCCUGGCAUAUCAGAAGUACUUAACAUGUAAACAUUAACUAUUAUUCUAGUUUUGCUGACAUUUUCUCAACCCAGUUAUAUUUUGGCUUAACUGACUUUAAGAAACUUAAUUUAAUUAAUUUAUUUAUUUUUGAGACAGGGUCUCAUUAUGUUGCCCGGGCUGGGGUGCAGUGGCUAUUCACAGGCACCGUCCCACGACUGAUCAGCAUGGGAGUUUUGACAGAGGUUUCCAACCUGGGCCAGUUCACUCCUCCUCAGGCAACCUGAUUGUCCCCUGCUCACAGGGGGUCACCAUAUUGAUGCCAGACUUAGUGCAGACAUCCAGUGGGCUUCAGGCACUACAGCCUAGAACUCCUGGACUCAAGCAAUCCUCCCCUCAGUCUCCCAAGUAACUGAGACUACUAGCAUGCACCACUACACCCAAUUAAAACGGCUUUUAUACCUAGAAUUAUAUUAGCUUGGGUGAAUUGAAUAACCAAGGUAACUGCAUUACCCACUCUAGUUCAUUUAUUCCUUAAUAUUUACCACAGCUGCAUCUCAUGGAGUGUGGUUUGAACAAGUUAUAUUGAACUGCCAUGUGGCCGUGACCCUUGUAAGUAUAACUCUAUCAAGAACUAUUAAUCUGGGCUCCAGCUUUUGUAUUUUGGGAAUUCUGAGAGUCUGGUCAGGUAUUUCUAGUGCUUUGCUUUAAUAAUAAGCAAUAUGAACAUCACCAAAUAAUUUAAAGAUUCUACCUGUUCCAUGAAAGGGCAAAGCAACUCCUAAAUGCCAAAGGAGAUGAAAAACCAAAGAAGGAGGUAAACAAAUCCACUUUGUUGGUUUUGGGUAAUUUAUUAUGGGGAAUUUACAGGCACAAGUGUGGUUUUGGGCAUACGCAAGAUAGGUAGAUCUCCGUACCUCAAGCCCCCAGACCCAGGGCUUAUAUCUUGAGAAGAAAGCAUACAUGCUCUGGAAGGAAUGUGUAGCCAGUUUUGGGCAUCACAGCCCGUGAUUUCUGUGAUAACAAGCGUUGUUUUGGAGGAAACCUUCAAUAAGUAGAUGUUUCUACAUAAGGAGUAAUACAUCAGCUAGCCAUUUUGGAGGCAUUCCCCACCUCCUGGUUAAUUAGAAAUUGCAUGGCAGAUUCGCUUUUAAAAUAAAGUAACUCUUGUCCCCAUAAUACCUUUGUAAAAUCUUUCCACCUAUGUUUGCUAUGCCUGUAGGGAGACAAAUACUUUUAUUGAAUUUGUACAUACAAGGCUUAUUUUCAUUACCACUUUGAACUUAUUCAAUCUAAUUUCACAUCUGAUUUAUUUCCAUUUCAACUAUACCUCAAAGUCAAAUUUAUUUUCAUUCUAUAUUAAAAUAUACAAUGAUCACUAUGAUUUCCAAUCUUGUUUUUGAGAUCUGACAAAUUCUUAUGUGUAAAUAUAGUUUUCUGGUAAGGGGAGUAAUAGAUUUGCAACAAAAAUUAUGAAUUACUUGUUUUAUCUUUGAGUGUAUAUACGUAUACCUGUAUGUCUUAUUUAUCUAAAAUACAAACUUAAGCAUGUUAAGAAUAGAAGCCUUUCCCAUUAUUCCACACCUCCGUGGGGGCUUUAGAACUGACUGAUAUUCUGUAAACUGAUAACAUCUAUUACAUCACUUUUCACUUUGUAUUACAAUAUUGGAUUAUAUGGCCAUUCUGUACCCACCCACAACUGAGAGCUGAAUGCAUAAAUAAAUGAAGACUG
rnacentral:lncRNA from 1 species